rnacentral:rRNA from 1 species
GACGAACGCUGGCGGCGUGCUUAACACAUGCAAGUCGAGCGGACCGGCGAACGGGUGAGUAACGCGUGAGUAACUGCCCCCCUCCCUGGGAUAACAGUUGGAAACGGCUGCUAAAACCGGAUAGUGGGGGAUGUCUAGCGUCCUAUCAGCUUGUUGGUGGGGUAGUGGCCUACCAAGGCGACGACGGGUAGCCGGCCUGAGGGGGCGACCGGCCACAUUGGGCUGAGAGACGGCCCAAACUCCGACGGGAGGCAGCAGGGGGGAAUAUUGCAGAAUGGGGGAAACCCUGAUGCAGCAACGCGCGUGCGGGAUGACGGCCUUCGGGUUGUAAACCGCUUUCAGCCAUGACGCGGUAGUGGCAGAAGAAGCACCGGCUAACUACGUGCCAGCCGCCGCGGUAAUUC